rnacentral:lncRNA from 1 species
UUCUAUACCCAGUUUUCAAUCAGUGCCACUUCGAUCAUAACUUAGAAAAUAGGUUUUCUAUUUUUUUCCUUAUAACUUUUUAAAGUACAUGCAUACAUGUUCAACUAGAGGAUGAGAUUUAUAGUUCAUACCAAGAUUUUAAAUCCCGUAGGAUGAAGAACGGGAUGCCCCGCUAUCCCAUCCUAUCCCAGUAACAAUCCCGGCCAUGCAUUCCGAUAGAUAUUCACCGUCUCUCACCUUCUUCUUUCCAUUCUUACUUUCUUUUUUUCCCCUUUUUCCUUCUUUUCUUUUUUUUCUUCUACCUUCCUAUCUUUCCUUUUUCUUUUUUUUUCUUCUCCCUUCCUUUCUCUUGGGACUUGAUUGGAUGGACUUGGACGUCCGUCUAUUCGACUGACUUCAGCCCUGCUAAUUGGGUCAUAAUCAGGCCAUUUUGGGACAGCACACGGGCUGUGUACAGGCUGUUAUGGGACAGAUAGGGGCUGUGUUUAGGCUAUUAUUGCAGCAAAAUAAGGACCGUUUUUGGGCUGUUAUGGAUCAGCAAAGAGUGGACUGUUUUUGGGCCGUUAUGGGACAGCAAAUAGGAACUGUUUUAGGGUGGGGCAGCAGCAAAGAAUGAAAUUUGGCCUGCAAUUAAGUUGUAAUUUAAUCCAUAGAGCUAUCUUUGGCCUAUAGAGUUAUGGUAGUUUAGGCUGCAAAUUAUAGUUGUCAUAAACUAUCAUUUGCACCAAGAAUUGCCGACUCGAAACGAACCCCGUGCCAGCCAACCGGCAGUACAAGUCAGUACAUCCCUAUACCGAACCGUACGGAUCUGAACCGACACGAAAACGAGGGAUGAACUAGAGAGAAAAAGAGAGAGCGGAGAAAGGGAUGGAAGGAGGGAAGGAAAGGAAAAGAAGACUGACAGAAACGUCAGUGAUGGCCACUGGAGGGCCGUGGAGACAGUCAGAGGAUCGUGGAGCCGUCUGAGCUCUGCGGUCCUCCAUGAGAGAAAAUGAGGACAGAGAAAUAUAAGAGAGAGGGGGAGGGAGAGAAGUGGAGGGCGGAGAAGGUGACAGGGAGGCCGUCAGAGUGAAGCUAGCAAUGAGGCUAGCAAACUCAUUGCUAGCUUCACUGUUUAUUGUGUUCCUUAAAAACAUGCUGAAAUAGGGGCUUUUGCCCCUAUUUCGAAACCGCGAUAGUCAUGGAAAAGUUUUGGGCUAUCUGGCGGCCACGGCAGCCUCCCUGCCGCCUUCCCCUCCCUCUGCUUCUCUCCCUUCCCCUCUCUCUCUAUCUCUCUCUCUCUUUUCGCAUCUCGCAAAGCCUUGGAGGCCUUGGCAGACCACCGCCAGCCGUUACUGACCUUUUCCUCUCCUUCCCUCUCCUUCUCUCUCUCUUUCUCUCUUUGCUUCUCCCUCACUCCAUUUUUGCUAGCAUUCUGAAUUGAAUGCCCAAACCACACCGAUUAGCCACCAGUAUAGUUCGGCAUGCCCCAAACCGGCGAACCAUACUUUGGACUGCAUAUUGGGUUGUAGAAACAUGAUAAUUUGGGCUACAGAAUAGGUCUGUCAUACGUUAUGGCUUAGACAGCAAAUUGGACUGUACAGACAUGAUAAUUUUUGCUGCAAAAUAGGGUUGCUAGUGACAGUGGUUUGGACUGUACAUUAGCAACAAACAGGGGUUGCGAGGGAGAAUUAUCAAGCCACAGAAACAUGAACAGGAAUAGCAUACACUAUAAGCUAAGCAUUUUAACAAAUAGGUAUCAGGCAUGAUAAUAGGCACAUGGUUUGGGGUAUAAACAACAUAGCAUACCAGCAUAUUUUACAAAGAAAUGGUAAGGAAUCAUGCAUCAAUCAUUAAGACACUAAUAAUAGAUAACAGAAGGGAGUGAUAAUGUUUGGCAGCCAUCUUCUUUCUUUAUUAUCUUCCUUUUCAUGAGAUUUUCGCGAGGUUGGAUUCAAGGGAUAAAAAACAAAGAUUUUAUGUCAGGUUUUGCAAAACAAAACAAGGUGCAGAACUAAGGAAUACAAACCCAAAGAUUAGAUGGCAGAUAAAUGCAACUGGGUGCUUUAAACUAAAUGCUACAAAGAUAUCAAAGCCUGACUGCUAUCAUGGAGACUUAAAACAGGACAUGGUCGAUGAUGGAGAAAGAAAGGGGAUGAGAUGAAUGGGUAUGGAAGAGAGAAAGCCUUCCUUUCUUCCAGUUGAAGCUCCCUCUUCUCCUUUUCUUUCCCCUUUCUCUCUGAUUCUUCUCUAGAUUUCAACAGCUUUAUGUGUCCUUGCUCAUAGUUUCUUGGUUGAGUAGAGGAGCACAUGGAGUGCUAUUGGGAUACCUGGGUGAUAGGAUGUUGACUUAGGGAUGUUUCCAAGUCCAAAGCUGAGCCCAUUUCCAAUCCAAAUCUGAGCUUGUUUCCAAGUCCAAAGAUAUGCCCAGUUCCAAGUUUAGCCCAUGACCAUAAAAUUGCUGAAGCUUAAAUUCUCUAUCCAAACCAUCCAAAGUUUUGAUCUGGUUUCUAAGGGGCUUACCAAUAGGCUCAAAUUUUUAUAUGAAUACAUUGAUCUCAAAAUUUUAAUAGCUUUACUUAUCAAGCCUGAUUGGGUUCAGGCCGGGCUCGAGUCGAGCUUAGGCCCGAGUUUUCAAAAACUUUUGGACCUAAGCCCAACCCGAAGCCUGAAAAAAAUUGGGAUCGAAGCUCUUGUUAUCCAACAUAAGAAAAUAAAAUACCAUCCUUUGAUGAUAUUUGUUAUACCUUCCCUUUCACAAAAAUAGAUAUAGGACCGAAGCUCUUGUUUCGAUUGGGAGGACAGAGCCCCUCCGGCCUUCACUGGCACAGUGGAGAUGUGGUAGCAUCACCGGCUCUUCAAAAGCCUCCAACAGCCUCCUUUCCCUCUCCCUCCCCCCUCCAGGUUCCGUCGAGCUUGGCAGUGGUGCAACGAGCUUGCCUGCCCUUUGUCCGCCCUCUCUCCCUCUCUUUUUUUCUCCAUCUCCCUCUCUCUCCUUUAUUUCCUUCUCUCUCUCCCCAUCCUCACCUGUUUCUUGUUUCAAACACUGGAACCAUCCUUGUUGGCCGUGAUAUGGUUCAACACGUCCCGAACCGGGCUAUUCGGGGUAGUUCAAUGAACCAUGUGUACAAAAGGAUGAUGUUGGAGCAGGAUGAUGUACAUUGACCUCGUUGCAAGGUGGCACUUCAAGGUAGGAUCCAGAAUAGAAAUGCUGAAAAAGAGGAUGAUGAUUCAAAGGAGUUGGAGGGGAGAGAGAAUGUAGAUACUAAAGGCGAAGGUAGGUGCAGGUGAAAGCAAGAUAAAAAUUUGUUGGUGCUAGGCACGAUAGUCAUAUUCUUUCACAUAAUGAUAAUCAACUUCCAUUCAAAUGAGGUGCAACUUUCUGAAGUUUGAAGUGUCAUAUUUUGUAGAAGAGUUAUUGCCAUUUCUUAGUAGCUCGGCAAUGGGGAGAGGGGAUUGUAGUGGUAAUACUACAAAAAAAUGAAUUUUUGUAUGCAGUCUUUUCAAACUUUUAAAUUUAGAGUUUAAAUAGCCUAACACGAGUCUUAUGAUAUCUUGAUUAAGGUUCGUCAUUUCAGUACCAGACCUCAAAUCGGUGCCAACCUGUUACUAUAUCAGUACGAAGCCAAUUCCACACAUCAGGUGGUGAUACGCCCUUUGUACCAUGCACCAAUACCGAACCAAUAUGGUACCAUAUGACACAACCCGUACUAUCCGAUUUGGUAUGGUACAGCAAAUCUUGGGCUUGAUAGCAUUUUACUUUGGAUAUGCUUCAUAGUUUUGUGGAUACGUGUUAUGGAUAUCUUAUUAUGGAUGUUGCUCUAUCUUGAAGACGAUUAUAGCAUUAAUAGCCUACAACAAGCCUUGUGAUGGGUUUGUUGGCAUUUUGUUUUGGACAUGCUAAAUGACUUUAUGAACACUUUGUCACAUAUAUCACUUUCGAUAUGUAACAAUGAUGACAAUUUAUUGAUUGAAAGCUAAUAAACUUCCAUUAAGUCGGGGUGUAACUUUCCGAAGUUUGAAGUGUUUAUACCUGCAGAAGGGUUAUUGUCAUUUUUUAGUAGCUAGGCAGUGAGGGAAUGGGAUUCUAGUGGUACUACCGCAAAAAAAUAAAUUUUUGUAUGCAGUCUUUUCAAACUUUUAAAAUUAGAGUUUAAAUAGCCUAACAUGAGUCUUAUGAUAUGCUUAAUUAAGGUUCGCUACUGGAUCUCAUAUCGGUGCCAACCCGUUACAAUAUCAGUAUAAGGCUGAUUCGACACAUCAAGUGGUGAUACACCCCUUGUACCAUGUACCGAUACCGAACUGAUAUGGUCAGUAUGACAUACCCCGUACUACCCAGUUUGGUAUGGUACGGCAAACCUUGGACUUAAUGGCAUUUUACAUCGGAUAUGCUUCGUAGUUUUGUGGAUACAUGUUAUGGAUAUCUUAUUAUGGAUGUUGCUCCAUCUUGAAGA